rnacentral:lncRNA from 1 species
CAGCCCUGUAGGAGACACCUCCAGAGAAAGUAACAGCUCUCAAUUGAUUAGCUGAGGAGACCGAUUUUGUAAAUCACUACUUUUCUAACAACACUGGCACAGAUGGCCAAGCAUUCUCCCUUUUCUCAGAGCUGGUUUUCCAUCCCGGAAAGAGAAUAAACAGAUGCUUUUACAGCUCGCAUUGGCGGGAAGUUCUGGCACAAAUGAAGUAUCUAUAAGGAGCAGCAGAGUCAAGGUGGUGAUCCUGUGGAUGAAUAACUGAAACCUGAUAUACUUGACAGCAGAAAAUAUAAAGCAAAUUGAAAAGGAGAGAGUGUGGAGAUAAAUAAGAAAAUGAAAGAACUGAUAAAGUCACUUGGAUUAAAAAA